rnacentral:rRNA from 1 species
UACGUAGGGUGCGAGCGUUGUCCGGAAUUAUUGGGCGUAAAGAGCUCGUAGGCGGUCUGUCGCGUCGGAUGUGAAAACCCAGGGCUUAACCCUGGGCCUGCAUUCGAUACGGGCAGACUAGAGUCCGGUAGGGGAGCGUGGAAUUCCUGGUGUAGCGGUGAAAUGCGCAGAUAUCAGGAGGAACACCAGCGGCGAAGGCGGCGCUCUGGGCCGGUACUGACGCUGAGGAGCGAAAGCGUGGGGAGCAAACAGG